rnacentral:rRNA from 1 species
AGAGUUUGAUCAUGGCUCAGAACGAACGCUGGCGGCAGGCCUAACACAUGCAAGUCGAACGCCCCGCAAGGGGAGUGGCAGACGGGUGAGUAACACGUGGGAACCUACCCAGUGGUACGGAACAACCCAGGGAAACUUGGGCUAAUACCGUAUACGCCCCUAGGGGGAAAGAUUUAUCGCCAUUGGACGGGCCCGCGUUGGAUUAGCUAGUUGGUGGGGUAAUGGCCUACCAAGGCAACGAUCCAUAGCUGGUCUGAGAGGAUGAUCAGCCACACUGGGACUGAGACACGGCCCAGACUCCUACGGGAGGCAGCAGUGGGGAAUCUUGGACAAUGGGCGCAAGCCUGAUCCAGCCAUGCCGCGUGAGUGAAGAAGGCCUUAGGGUUGUAAAGCUCUUUCGGCGGGGACGAUAAUGACGGUACCCGCAGAAGAAGCCCCGGCUAACUCCGUGCCAGCAGCCGCGGUAAUACGGAGGGGGCUAGCGUUGUUCGGAAUUACUGGGCGUAAAGCGCACGUAGGCGGACUGUUAAGUCGGGGGUGAAAUCCUGGGGCUCAACCUCAGAAUUGCCUCCGAUACUGGCAGUCUCGAGUGCGGGAGAGGUGAGU